GGAGCGAGUGGCGAACUGGUGAGUAACACGUGGGUAACCUGCCCCGAAGCGGGGGAUAACAUUUGGAAACAAAUGCUAAUACCGCAUAAUUAGUUGGAACCGCAUGGUUCCAACUUGAAAGAUGGCUCUGCUAUCACUUUGGGAUGGACCCGCGCCGUAUUAGUUAGUUGGUGAGAUAAAAGCCCACCAAGACGAUGAUACGUAGCCGACCUGAGAGGGUAAUCGGCCACAUUGGGACUGAGACACGGCCCAGACUCCUACGGGAGGCAGCAGUAGGGAAUCUUCCACAAUGGACGAAAGUCUGAUGGAGCAACGCCGCGUGAGUGAUGAAGGUUUUCGGAUCGUAAAACUCUGUUGUUAAAGAAGAACAAGUGUUAGAGUAACUGUUAACACUUUGACGGUAUUUAACCAGAAAGCCACGGCUAACUACGUGCCAGCAGCCGCGGUAAUACGUAGGUGGCAAGCGUUGUCCGGAUUUAUUGGGCGUAAAGCGAGCGCAGGCGGUUUUGUAAGUCUGCUGUGAAAGCCCUCAGCUCAACUGA
rnacentral:rRNA from 1 species